rnacentral:rRNA from 1 species
UAAUACGUAGGGUGCAAGCGUUGUCCGGAAUCAUUGGGCGUAAAGCGCGCGUAGGUGGUCAUGUAAGUCCGCUGUGAAAGUCAAAGGCUCAACCUUUGAAAGCCGGUGGAUACUGCAUGACUAGAGUACGGAAGAGGCGAGUGGAAUUCCUGGUGUAGCGGUGGAAUGCGCAGAUAUCAGGAGGAACACCAAUAGCGAAGGCAGCUCGCUGGGACGUUACUGACACUGAGGCGCGAAAGCGUGGGGAGCGAACAGGAUUAGAUACCCUGGUAGUCCACGCCGUAAACGAUGGGUACUAGGUGUGGGAGGUGUCGACUCCUCCCGUGCCGUCGCUAACGCACUAAGUACCCCGCCUGGGGAGUACGGCCGCAAGGCUA